rnacentral:lncRNA from 1 species
GGGAGACCGAAGGGGCCUGGGGUUGCCAACUGCAUCCCUCAGGAAUGCAGGCAGGACAAAAGCAAGUUUUAGGAACACACCCUACAGAUAAAUUGUAGAUGAGGUCAGAGUAUUGUUCUGAAAAGCAAAAGAUGAGAAAUAAGCUAACUGCCCAUCAACAGGGGACUGGUUCUAGAUUGUGCUCUAAAUGCUGAUAGGAAUCAAUUUCCAAGCAAGGCCACCAGAUUUAGCAAAGAAACCUGGAGGCCCAGUUAAAUUUAAAUUUCAGAGAGCUGUGUAUGUUCUGUGCAGUCUUAUGCUAAAAACCUUUGUUGUUUAUCUGAAAUUAGAUUUUACUGGGCAUCUUAUUUUAUCUGCAACACUAUCUCAAGAUAAGUGAGAAAAGCCAGUUGAAGUCAGGAGAGGGGCUGCUCUUGGGAGGUGUGCACGUGCCUGUCUGCCUGCCUGCCCGGAGGGCUGCUGAGGUGACCCUCACCUGGUAGGUGUAAGGGCAAAGGGGCUUCUCUGGGCUCAGGACUGUAGUGGUUGGACUAGGCUGUACCUGGGAUCCGUGCUCUGCCAUCAUUUGUACACAUGUGGUAAGUGUUAAUAUAUUUUUUUAAAAAUGUGAAAAACAUGGGCUGGGGCUCAGUGGUAGAGCGCUUGCCUAGCGUAUGUGAGGUUCUGGGUUUUAUCCCCGGCCCCACAUGGAAAAAAAAAAGUGAAAAAGAGACCACAAUUUUCCAUUUGAACAUUUCUAAUUUUUUUCAGUUGAAAGGAAUUGGACCCAGGGGUGCUGGACCACUGAGCUAUCUCCCCAGCCCUUUUUAUUUUUUAUUUUGAGACAAUGUCUUGCUAAAACUGGCCUCCAAUUUGCAAUCCUCCUGCUUCAGCCUCCCUAGUGGCUGGGAUUAGAGGUGUGCGCCACCAUCCCUGGCUUUUGUUGGCUUUUUUUGUGUUCACUGAGGCUUAAACCGGGGACCUUGAGCGUCCUAAGCAUGUGCCUCCAUCUCCACAUCCCCUCCUUGGCAGUAGUGCUCAUCCUCUGUGGUUCAGAGCUCUCUAGAAGUGAGCAAGGCGGCCAUCCAUGACAGAGGGGAGGAGACCCAGCGGGUACUUUUAGCCUCCUGCCAGGCAGGCAGAGGAACAGCUCUACCAACCCUGGCUGAAGCUGGAAGCAAGUGGUCUGAGAGGCCGGGGGCACACCCAGCAACCCGCCACCAUGCAGCUGCCAGGGGACCACCUGGGGACCACCUGGGGAAGGUGUGCUCUACCUGAGAUUCCAAGGGUUGCUCAGCCUGAGC